rnacentral:lncRNA from 1 species
GCCACAGCUUCCCAAACUUGGGAUUACAGGCAUGAGCCACCAUACCCGGCGCUCCUCCUUUCUUACAGCUACAUAGUCAUUCAGUUUAUUUAUCCAGUCCCUUACUGAUGGACAUUUAGUUUGUUUCUGAUAUUUUGCUUCGCAAACAAGAACAUCUAAUACACUUAGUGCACAUGUAUGAGUGUUUCUUGAGGAUUUAUUCCUAGAAGAGAGAUUGCUGGCUCAAAAUAUGUAUGAAUUUUUCAUUUUGAAAAAUACUGCCAAGUUGGAGUGGAGAACUUUUUUCUGUGAAGGAGCCCUCCAUCCCUAGAGCUGAACCAGUGAUGAAAGGCACUCCGGGUAGAAAGAGCAUGGACUUUCCAUUCAGAUGUAUUUGGGUUCAAAUCCCAGUUCUGCCACCUUUUUCCUGUGUGACCUUGGUUAAGUCACUUAACCUCUCUGAUUUUCUGUUUCCUUAACUGCCCAGUGGAAAUAGUAAGAGCCGCCUCACAAAGCUGUUGCAAGGAUCAAAUGGCAUCUUGUAGGUCAAUCCUCUAGCGUGGGCCUGGUACGCAGUAGGCUCUUGGCCCAUGUUAGUUUCCUUUCCCUGACUGAACCCUUUUCUGCAUCCAUCAUGGAAGACAAGCUCUGGGGAGUGGCUGGGGAAGGUGAUUUAUUAAUGAACGUCACACAGAAGUCAGGACUCCACAGUGGCUCCUUCUAAAGGUCACCUCUAAAGGCAACUCUUAGAGGUAAGGACCAUUUCACGUAAAGUUGUAAGGAUCUGCUUUUGAGAACAUAGGCUAGGGUGCCGACAGAGAUCAGACCUUACUGGAGGACCUCUUCCUAAAUGAUCCCUUCAUCCCAGACACUGCCCUCCAUGCCUCAGUCUCUGCAGAAGAGGAGAAAGAGAAUCCUCCUCAACAAGAGGAGGGUGGCUGGCUUUUACACAGGGAGUGGCUAGACUGGUCUCUUCGCAGAGAAUAGAACCAGAAAACAGACAUCAGACAGACUGAGGUCGGGCAGCAGGGUGGCAUUUCUGUCUUGGACACACAGCAUGAGUGUGAGGGAAGCAGCAGGGUGCCCCACUGGAGGUCCCUACCCAGGAUGGCCUAUCCAUCUCCGUGUCUUGGUUCAGCGGGAGAGGUCUGGAAAUCCUUUGGAGGUGGUGGCCAGAUUGCAUCCAUAGUCCCAGCCAGACCCUCAGCAAUGCCAAGAGCCUCUUAGCUGCAGGUCACUGUGCUCCACUGUCUGUAGGCCACUGCCCCACCUUCAGGGCUAUAGUUUCUUUCUUCUGGAAACCACACAGGACAUGAGAAUCCCAGACUGGGCUGCCCUUCCUGGAAGAGGAUGUGUGUGUGAGCCCAGCAGCCGCUGUGAUGGGGCCCGAGGUGGUGAUACUGGCAAAAAAAAGGGGGAGCUAAGCAGCAUGGUGGUAGCAGUGGUGACAAGGCCUCCAGUACAUGUAGCCAUGAUGAGUGACACUCAGUAGGGUAGGCUGUGGUGCCUUUAUCCAGAGUCUAAAUGCUUGCUUUCAGUUCCACCUCCAUAUAUUACAUGCUGUGUGGCCUGGGGACAGUAGCUUUCCCUUUCUGACCUCGGUUUCUUCAUCAGUAAAAUGAAGAUGCUAAUACCACCUGUCCUGUCUUCCUCAAUGUCUCCAACCAGCAGGUGCCUUUAACAUGCCACGAGGCAAGAGUGAACUCAGGUGGAGGUACUUUGCUAAAAGCAGCCCAGGUAGGAGGAGAUGACUGAGUAGAACUGGCCGUGUUAUCCUCAGAAUGAUUUCUUGCUUCCCCAGGAGACUCCUGUUGCUGUGACGAUUUUUCCUGGUUCUCAGUCCCUGGACUCUGGGAUAGCUGAGAUCUUCUGGCUCUCGCCUCACAUAGCAUCUCACAGUGAUGUCCUGGCUUCCUGCCUAGGCCCCAAUCACCAGUUCUGGUGCUGACCCUGCAGGUCCUAGCUCCCUCCCAGCCGGCCUAGAGACAGGGCCCAGGCUCAUUGGAAGGAACAACAGGAGACUUGCCUGAAAGCCAAAUGUUCUACCCAACAGGACCUGAUUAUGGUGGCCAAGGGGCUGUACCUGGGCAGUCUCACCCAAGGGACACUUCUCAGGGGUCAGGAGAAUUUCAGCUCUGUGUUUACACAUGAUUCUAGGCUGAGGGAGAGAGAAAAAGCAGGGUAGGGGGUGGCAGAUUAGGCGAGGGAAUGUGUCCCCUAGAUGGUCCCUUAGCUCAUAGUGGAAGUGGGCUCUAGAGCGCCUUGCCCAUGCCCUCUUCAUGCUCUAGAGAGGUGGGCAAAGGACAAAGUAUGCGACUACCCAGGAGAACCAGCCUCCAGAUUGAGAUUGGAGAUGAAGGCCACUCAGUCCCCUCCAUUGCAAAAAGAAUAAAAGAAAGGAGUAGGAUUGGCCAUUGCUUGCAAAUAAACAGGAGGGGGCAGUGUUGGGGUAAUGACCUCCAUCCGGGGAGGGUCAGGAAGGGAGCUGUCCUUUACUGGGCACCCAGGAGAUGCACCUGUACAAUUUCAUUCAUUCUCACGACCACCUCGUUAGGUAGGCACUAUCUCUGUGGCUCCAUUUGGCCAAUGAAAAGGAUGAAGAUCUGAGAAGUCAAGUUACACUGCUAGGAAGAGGUUGACUUGGAGUGGAAACCCAGGACUGCCUGUCUGACUGCUGAAUGGGUGCUUUGCGUUCCUUACCUGCCCUCCCAGGGCUCCAGACCGUCCCUCCUGCACAUCUGCCUCUCCCAGGCCGUGCCUGCAUGUCCCCAGCCCCCUCCAACAGCUCCAUCUCCCGAGAGCUCCUUGAAUCUCCUCACUCACUCCUCACUCUUGCUUCCUCUUUGGAAUCCAGCCACAGGCUUUUUUCUUCCAUCUGAGGGAGAGAAAAUGGUCUCGUUCCCCACCCCCAGGUCUUUCCAUCCUCUCAUCCAUCCAAACCUAAGCAUCUCUCACUCCUCCCCUCCCCCUCUCUUAUUUUUUUUUUCUUUCUGUUUAUCCAUCACUAGAAUCUACCCCCCUUCCCUCUUGCCUGUAGGUUCUGUGGCUAUAAACAAAUCAUAACUUUUAUUAAAUUUAAGAUUACUUUUUAAUGGAAUCAAUUUCUUGUGUGGUGCUUCUCUGCCUGCCCGCGGGCUCUGCCGGCUCUGCGCUCAGCAUCCCCACCCGCACAGUUGUCUCUGCCGCUGGCGUUUCUGGCUAAGCUGCCUCUGAAGGAGGGGCAGGUCUGCCAUCCCUAAACACACACAGAGAAACACACACACACAUGCACACACUCCCACACACACACGAAGAUGCACCUUCCUGCAAGGCCCAGACACAGAGCCGCCAAGCCCCAGGUGCCCACACUGAGCGGCAGGGAGUGGGAGAGGGGCAGGGGCAGGAGGAGAGAGCUGCAGAGAGAAAGACUGAGGGUGCAAAACAAAUGCGGAGCCGAGCAGACAUUUCUCAGCCUGUUAAUUUCCUACAGUUCUGUUUUCCAGCCUCAGAAACAAGCUGGUUUCUGCCAGUCCACCCCCUUCCCUCUGACUGCAUUGUGCAGCUGCUGAGCAGAGAGAAGUUGCAGGGAGGAGGGGGUUCCAGAGGAGAAGCGAAGAGACUCAGGUUUUCAUACGAUUUAUCAAAGUACAGGCAAGAUGCAGAGAUGCUUCUGAAGCUGUGACCCCAAAAAGAAGCUCAACUGGGAGAUUUGCAGCCUGGACCAGUCUAACCCUACAGGUCUGGGCUUCAGGAAGAAGGGAACCUGGGGGUGCUGCAGGGAAUACUUUGGAGGAGGCUGUUUCAACGGGCUCAGCAACUCCCUCGGUUUGACCCCUGACACAAGCAUGCCUGCUGAAUCUACACCUGGACCUAAAGACUUGUAGAGUCCUUUCUGGGGCUGGAUGUUCCCACAGGACAAUUACCAGUCAUGCAUACAGAGCUUUGCUGCCCAAGGGGACUUUCUGAGGGCUGAAUAUUAUUUACUUCAACUCUCCUUUGACAAGGCACCUGAGGCCCAGAUGGGGAAAGUCACACAGGACUGUGAUGGGGCCUGAUCGAGAUCUCCUGAAUCUUCCCAGUGCUGCUUGCUGUGCUUUGUGGCCCUUCCUCUGGCUGUAACUGUAAUCCCACCUAUACCUUAGGUUGCACAUGCUCAUACAGCGCUUACCAUGAGCCACCCUCUGAGGCAGGUACUGUUAUGAUUCCCAUUUUACAGCUGGGGAGGCUGAGGCUCAGAGAGGUUAAAUACUUCCCUAAGCUAGUAUGUGGUCGAGCUAGAAUUUGAAACCAGAAUGUCCUGCCCCAGAAUCUAGACUCCUAACCACUGGGCUGUGCUACCUCUCUUCUCUGGAAGCUUCACCUGUACCUGGACACAUUUACCUUCACUUUCCUCUUCUCCUGUCCUUAGCUUUCACCACCACCUUCACAAUUUCUCAUUUCAGGCUAAGCCAGAUAAUCACCCCAGACACAAGGGCAGGCUCAGCACUGCUAUCAAAAUCCCUUUUCCUUUUAUCUUCUCCAUCACCAUCUUAGCCUUAUCGCGUUCACUAUCAUGAUCAACUUCACCAUUUAUAAAGUCUCUAAUUGCAAAUGACUGUGUACCUAUAGACCAAUGCAGAUCUAACCCCUGCCUUGGGAUGGGAGGAUGGGGCUUACAGUCAAACCAAACAGCAGUUUAAGCCACAUAUACUCCUCCCUUUGUAAGUAAAGGUACGAAACCAGAAUGUGGAAGGCAGUCUUCUUCUUAAGAGAUUUUUCUGCAAUAAGAUGGAGGUGGUGAAGGAGAAGUUUCGAACAGCCAAAGAGUGCCUGCUGAGGGAAAUUAAUCAAUGGCCAAGAAGAUUGCUUGUCAUCUUUCAAUAUCUAUAAGAAAUAACGAGCCUCCAGAGAGGGAGCUAGAGCUCCAAGGGAAAAGAAGACCAGUGGGUACUCUGUCCAACUCAUGCCUCUAAGGAGCUACAGGAGAAAGAUGGAGCCAUAGGCAGCUUCCACCCCUUUGGAUGGUGGCCAACACCCAUCUCCCCAGCCACAGUAUCUCUCACAGCCCCUGGGGAAGCCAGAAGCAAGCAACACUGCCCAGGAGUUUUAAAACUGAUUCUUCCCUUAAGCUCAAGUCCCACCCACCUCCCAACCCAGUGAGCUUGCUGGUUGGCUGUCCAUGAGUGUUGGCUGCCAGAUGUGCCAUCAUCCGGCACAGGAUGUACAGGAAAGAGGGCAAUGGCUUCCCGGACCAGAGUCUCCACCCAGAAUUCCAGCCAAGGCCCCAGAGCUCCCAGGACCUGGAGAAUUUGUUCCCCCUGGUUGUGUUUGGAAUUGGCUGGUUUUCUGGGCACCAGGCCCAGCUCAGUUUAAUUUUUGUUUAUUUUUAUGUACAGAUUCUCUUCUGUUUGGGGAUGAGCUUUGUGUAAAUUAUUAUUAUUUAUAUGAUAAAGAAUAAAUCACACCAAAUAAAAAAA